GUCCGGGUGGCGCAGUGGUUAAGGCAUCUGUCUAGUAUUCAGAGGAUCCCGGGUUCGAAUCCCGGUCUGGCACA